rnacentral:rRNA from 1 species
UACCUGCAGCUCGAGUGGUAACCGCUAUUAUUGGGCCUAAAGCGUCCGUAGCCGGUUUGGUAAAUAUCUGGGUAAAUCGUGAGGCUUAACUUCACGAAUUUCGGAUAGACUGCCAGACUUGGGAUCGGGGGAGGUCAGAGGUACUCCAGGGGUAGCGGUGAAAUGUUGUAAUCCUUGGAGGACCACCGGUAGCGAAGGCGUCUGACUAGAACGAGUCCGACGGUGAGGGACGAAGCCCUGGGGCGCAAACCGGAUUAGAUACCCGGGUAGUCCAGGGUGUAAACGAUGUGGGCUUUGUAUUGGAGGUCCCACGUUGGCGUCCAGUGCAGAAGAGAAGUUGUUAAGCCCACCGCCUGGGAAGUAUGGUCGCAAGGCUGAAACUUAAAGGAAUUGGCGGGGGAGCACAGCAACGGGAGGAGCGUGCGGUUU